ensembl:snRNA U6 U6 spliceosomal RNA
UUGCUCGCUUCAGCAGCACAUAUACUAAAAUUGGAACGAUACAGAGAAGGUUAGCAUGGCCCCUGCACAAGAAUGACACGCAAAUUCAUGAAGCGUUCCAUAUUUAU